rnacentral:rRNA from 1 species
AGUGAACGCUGGCGGUAUGCCUAACACAUGCAAGUCGAACGGCAGCACAGUAAGAGCUUGCUCUUACGGGUGGCGAGUGGCGGACGGGUGAGGAAUACAUCGGAAUCUACUUUUUCGUGGGGGAUAACGUAGGGAAACUUACGCUAAUACCGCAUACGACCUACGGGGGAAAGCAGGGGAUCUUCUGACCUUGCGCGAUUGAAUGAGCCGCUGUCGGAUUAGCUAGUUGGCUGGGGAAAGGCCCACCAAUGCGACGAUCCGUAGCUUGUCUGAGAGGAUGGUCAGCCACCCUGGAACUGAGACACGGUCCAGACUCCUACGGGAGGCAGCAGUGGGGAAUAUUGGACAAUGGGCGCAAGCCUGAUCCAGCCAUACCGCGUGGGUGAAGAAGGCCUUCGGGUUGUAAAGACCUUUUGUUGGGAAAGAAAAGCAGCAGGUUAAUACCCCGCUGUUCUGACGGUACCCAAAGAAUAAGCACCGGCUAACUUCGUG